UAAUGAUUUUGGCUUGAAAAAAGAUUUAUUGUAUUCAGAGGCAAAAUCAUAAUUUUAUUAAGUUUUGAUUCGAAAGCCUCAAAAGCAAGAACAGAAGAUUUGUGAUCUAUUGGAGGUAAUUUCAUAUUUUUUGGAUGUAUAUUUUGAGAGAAAAUCAAGUUUAAAGAAAAGUAUCGACCCUUAAGGUCGAUCCUUAUCAAAAGGGGCUGAACGGCAUGCUAUUUUUGGUUGGCACACCCAAAGGGGACGAUCCUAUGAGUCGACCCCUAUGCCAGGGUCUUGAGUCGACCUCUGUUGUCUGUGCAAGCCAAAGAUACAAAACAGUCACUUUCUGUUCUGCGUCACAGGGGUCGAUCCUAGGGGGUCGACCCCUGUGCAGGGGACGACCCUAUGAGUCAACUCUUGUGACGAAAAAUCUUCGUAACGGCUAGUUUUUCAGCUCGUUUUGAUCGCAUUUAAUACUCAUUUAAAGCUCUCCAACGGCUCUAAUCCUGUUCAGAUUUUUCUCUAGCAUCUAUUGAAGAUAUAAAGGCACUUAAAGGAGGAAAAAAGUAAAGAGAUUCAAGCAUUCAUUUCAGUCCUAAGCAAAAAGUCCUCUUCAAGCAAAAGAAGCUUUUAUUUCAAGUUCACCAACCCUUCAAGAGC
rnacentral:lncRNA from 1 species